AGCGAACGCUGGCGGCAGGCCUAACACAUGCAAGUCGAACGAACUCUUCGGGGUUAGUGGCGGACGGGUGAGUAACACGUGGGAACGUGCCUUUUGGUUCGGAAUAACUCAGGGAAACUUGUGCUAAUACCGAAUGUGCCCUUCGGGGGAAAGAUUUAUCGCCAUUAGAGCGGCCCGCGUCUGAUUAGCUAGUUGGUGAGGUAACGGCUCACCAAGGCGACGAUCAGUAGCUGGUCUGAGAGGAUGACCAGCCACACUGGGACUGAGACACGGCCCAGACUCCUACGGGAGGCAGCAGUGGGGAAUCUUGCGCAAUGGGCGAAAGCCUGACGCAGCCAUGCCGCGUGAAUGGUGAAGGUCUUAGGAUUGUAAAAUUCUUUCACCGGGGACGAUAAUGACGGUACCCGGAGAAGAAGCCCCGGCUAACUUCGUG
rnacentral:rRNA from 1 species